AGGAUUUUAGUUUAUUAAAACAUUUGAUUUGCAUUCAAAAAAUAUUAUAAUAUUAAUAUAUCUUA
rnacentral:tRNA from 1 species